ensembl:lncRNA novel transcript
GAGAGAUAUACCUUUUAUUUAAAGAAAGGUGUGAAAAGCAAAUUUAUUAACAAAUUUAACACUGCUUGCAUCUAGAAGAUAGGAUUUGAAAUUGUGUUGCUUUCUCAAGCUGAUUACAUCAAAGUAUAUUAGAAAACAAAAACAAAAUAAGGGGCCAGGUUGAUAUAGUCUUGCUGGGUCAGGAGGCUGGCCUUGCAUCCUCGAACCAGGCCCUCCAGGUAGCCAUGGUCCACGUUGAAGUACAGCUCCGCACCUUCGAGCAUGGGGGAAGAGAUUG